AACCCAUACUAAGAAUCAGGCAAUGCAGAAUUUUGAUUGAAGAAGAACAAAGAACGGCUUACACAAUUGCUACUUAGAUAUAACCACGACAGCUUCAUCCUGAAGAUAAAGCUUGUGUGCGGUGUUGGUUAAGAGUGAGAACUAAGGAUAAUUCACUAAAUGAAGAAAUACAAUCCGUUGAACCUAAUCAGCAGGAAAGUGAUAAUUCUGAACUGAUGUGUGCUGCAUGUGGUCAAAGUCUUACUCCUAACAACACUGCUUGUUUGUUGGAGCACCAGAAGGUAUAUAAUAAUAUGAAAUAACAUAUUUAUAGUAGUUAGCUUCUAAAAACACAAUGCAAAGAGCAAUUACAAUUUUAUGUUGCUAAAUGUAAGACACUAAUGAUGUUGGCUCUACUAACAACAACAAAAGGAUACUGGUCUUUCCAUUCUCUACUCCAGUGAACAAUAAAUAUAUUUAGUAUUUUUGGAAAGGUCUUCGGUAAAAACCAAUCAUUGUGUGUCGAGAUUUAUUCUCUAGCCUGGUCAUGUUUUGCACAAUUUAUAUCUAUCAUAUGUAAAUGCUUAAUUUUGAAUUACAUGAAUGUUAUUUAUUUACAGACACCUUCCAUUAAUGAAGUUUGUGAAGUUUGCUGGGGCCAAGUAUGCAAUUUGAGCUUCUAUGUUCCAGAUGGUCUAUGUUGCUUCAAGCUAAAAUAAAGUCCUGCCACUCUUCUCCUAGAACUUAUUUUGUUUUCAUAGUUGCAGAAACAAAUAUGAAUAGCCGGGACACAAUCAAAAGUGAUUGCUGUAAUUGUAUUGUAGGUUUAAGAACAGUGGGAUGCUGCUCACAUGUUAUGAGCAUUCUUUGGUAUUUGAGUUAUGCUUGCCAUGAGGGUAUGACCCGACCUGCCCCUUUCUUGGAUGAAGUAAUAUUAAGAACCAAUCAAGUAAUUAUAAGAAAAUAAAGUAAAUGAAAUUCCUACAAAAA